rnacentral:lncRNA from 1 species
AAACUGGAAAGGAAAAAGUAAAAUUACGUCUGCUGGAAGACGGUAGGCGGAUCACUUGAGGCCAGGAAUUCAAGACCAGCCUGGCCAACAUGGUAAAACCCCAUCUCUAGAAAAAAUACAAAAAUUAUCUGGGCAUGGUGGCACAUGUCUGUAAUCCCAGCUACUUGGGAGGCUGAGGCAGGAGAAUCACUUGACCCCAGGAGGUGGAGGUUGUAGUGAGCUGAGAUCACGCCACUGCACUCCAACCCG